UUUUCAGCAACAACAUGGACUUUACUGGCUCUCCUUUUCGCCCUGGUGUUACUGUAUGGAGUUUGGCCAUACAGGUUUUUCUCAAAGCUGGGAGUAAAAGGACCGAGACCGCUGCCGUUUAUUGGAACAAUGCAUAACGCCAGAAAGGGAAUACACGCUUUUGACCGGGAGUGCCAGGCCAAGUAUGGAGACGUCUGGGGGGUGUACGACGGACGAACGCCGUCUUUCAUGGUGACAGAUCCUGACAUUAUUAAAGCUGUGAUGGUGAAGGAGUGCUACACUGUGUUUACCAACCGCAGGGUAAGAGACCGCUCUUAUUA